AAGCUCGUAGUUGAAUUUCGGGAUCAGUUUGUUGGUCGUGCUUCGGUACGUACUGUCAUUACUGGUUUCUCCCUUCUGAAGAACCUUGAUGUCAUUAAUUUGGUGUCUUGGGGAAUCAGGACUGUUACUUUGAAAAAAUUAGAGUGUUUAAAGCAAGCAUACGCUUGAAUACAUUAGCAUGGAAUAAUGAAAUAGGACGUUUGAUUCUAUUUUGUUGGUUUCUAGGAUCGACGUAAUGAUUAAUAGGGAUAGUUGGG
rnacentral:rRNA from 1 species